rnacentral:tRNA from 1 species
GCCCCAAUGGCCUAAUGGAUAAGGCCCUGGCCUCCUAAGCCAGGGAUUGUGGGUUCAAGUCCCAUCUGGGGUG